GCGAACAAAUUUUUCUUUCCCAUUCCAUUUUUAGAAAGUAUUUCAUAAUGUACUUGAAAAUAAAGAUGUUUUAUGUUUGGUACUGCUAGGGAAAGUCUAGAACAUUCAUUUGUCCAUUGCUAUGAGUUUAUGGGAUGCCUACUUUAUGCUAUUGGGUUCAUCAUAUGCAUCCUAUCAAUUACUUUUUGUCUCAAGUGGUUUGGAGUCCUAGGUCCUACGGAGGGUCUUAGAUGAAACUCGAAUUAAACCACUAAAGUAAUGCCUCAUGGCAUAAAAAAUGCGUACAUUCUCGUAAUGAAAAGGUAAGUUUGUGGAUGGUGCAACUGUUAUAGUUGUUGAGAACUGUCAUUGCCAUCGUUGUUGCAGUUAGUCUUAAUCACCAUUCUUAUCCUCAGUUGCCAUUGUUGUGGUUUUUUUUUUUUUUUUUUCGUUUUUCUGGUCUCCCUUUUGCGGGGUUGUCAAUGUCCUUGGGUUUUAUCUUCUCCUCUAUCUUCCCAUAACCAUCUGCCAGCGUUAUCAUUGCCUUAGCAGUCACCAUUGCCGUCAGUUGUUGCCGUCGUCCUUGUUGCCAUCCACAAUCAUUUUGUUCUCGAUGUUGUUUGGGUUUUCUUUUCUCCUACCUGGUUACUCCAUUUCUUGCUCUUCGUUCUUCUUUGCCGUCCUCCUCCUUUGCUAGAUUCUUUUUUGCUUCAAUUUAGAUUAUUGGUUUGUUGCUUUGGUUGGGUUAUUCUUACUUUCAAGUUAGUGUGGUUUGGUUUGCUGCUUAGGUUUGGUUUCGUGAGGUUCUUUGCUUUCCUGGUUGUGUGUUGGUGAUCCAAGGCACUUUGUGAUGAAGCAUAGUAGUUGUUGUAUUGACAACAAGUACUUCCAUAUUUGGUUUGAAGAUGAGCAUUUCUUCGUUGUAGGUUUGGAUCUUAAGCCAGCCAUUCUUCUAUCUCUCUUACCUUGUUUGUAGAGUUGCGCUCUAUUUGUCCCUACAAGGUACUUGGUCAACUUAAGGAGGUUAUGGAACUCAUGACUAGGUGCUAGGACCAAAAUACAUGAAACUGUAACUCGUAGCCUUUGAAAACCGUAACUAGCACUCUAUGGCACAUAGUGAUAGUCCAACCCAUGACUGGGAAAUAAUGAGCUAUCCAAACCCUAAAUCAUGCAUAAUAAGCAUAUAAAGGCAUACAACAUGCUCAUUAAGUGAUCAUAAUCCAACGUCAGCAUACUAGAAAGUACAGAAGUCUAAUGAUUUAUCAGAGUUCACCAUCAUGUGUGCAGAAGCUAUAACUGUAAAUAGAAUUAAGUGGUAAACGUUCACAUUAUCUUAGCACAAUUAUCAUGAGACUAGGUCAAACUAGGCUCCUAAACAUAAUACUCAAUCAUUGCUCUCAUUCCUAAUCGACUCCUACCAGUAUUUCUUAGAAACUUGCUCCAUAUGGUUACUUACUUGAUUGUAGACUUUUCGAGCUUGUUUCAAGUCUUCGAGCAUAUUUCAAAUUUCUCCAAAAUUCAUCGGUAUGCCCUAAAUUAAGUCAAAAGAAUAAAAAUGGUAAAAAUGACUAGCUUCAAUUUGACAAAGAGAAGGUUGAGAAACCAACCAUUGACUGUACCGUAUCUUCUCCAACUAGUG